GGUGAGGUGGCCGAGUGGUCUAUGGCGCACGCUUGGAAAGCGUGUGUAGGUUAACGCCUACCGUGGGUUCGAAUCCCACUCUCACCGCCA
rnacentral:tRNA from 1 species